rnacentral:tRNA from 2 species
GGGCCUAUAGCUCAGUUGGUUAGAGCAGAGGACUCAUAAUCCUUUGGUCCACGGUUCGAGUCCGUGUAGGCCCACCA